rnacentral:lncRNA from 1 species
UGUCGAUAUUAUGGCAAGAACAGCUCAAAUAAGCAAAGAAAAACAACACUCCAUCAUUACUUUAAGACAGGAAGGUCAGUCAAUCUGGAAAAUUUCAAGAGCUUUAGAAGUUUCUUCAAGCGCAGUCGCAAAAAAACAUGAAGUACUAUGAUGAAACUGGCUCUCAUGAUGACCACCACAGUAAAGGAAGACCCAGAGUUACCUCUGCUGCAGAGGAUACGUUCAUUAGAGUUACCAGCCACAGAAAUUGCAGCCCAAAUAAAUGCUUCACAUAGUUGAAGUAACAGACACAUCUCAACAUCAACUGUUCAGAAGAGACUGCAUGAAUCAGGCCUUCAUGGUUGAAUUGCUGCAAAAAAAACACUACUAAAGGACACCAAUAAUAAGAAGAGACUUGCUUGGGUCAAGAAACAUGAGCAAUGGACAUUAGACUCAUGGAAAAUUGUCCUUUGGUCUGAUGAGCCCAAAUAUGAGAUUUUUGGUUCCAACCUCCAUUUCUUUGUAAGACGCAGAGUAGGUGAACAGAUGAUCUCCGAAUGUGUGGUUCCCACCGUGAAGCAUGGAGGAGGAGGUGUGAUGUUGUGGGGGUGCUUUGCUGGUGACACUGUCUGUGAUUUAUUUAGAAUUCAAAGCAAACUUAACCAGCAUGGCUACCACAGCAUUCUGCAGCGAUACGCCAUCCCAUCUGGUUUGCGCUUGAUUUGUUUUUCAAUAGGAAAAUUACCAAAAACACUUCCAGGCAGUCUAAGGGCUAUUUGACCAAGAAGGAGAGUGAUGGAGUGCUGCAUCAGAAGACCUGGCCUACACAAUCGCCCAACCUCAACCCAAUUGAUAUGGUUUGGGAUGAGUUGGACCGCAGAGUGAAGGAAAAGCAGCCAACAAGUGCUCAGCAUAUGUGGGAAGUCCUUCAAGACUGUUGGAAAAGCAUUCCAGGUGAAGCUGGUUAAGAGAAAGCCAAGAGUGUGCAAAGCUGUCAAGGCAAAGGGUACAUGUGCAGGAUGCUACCUUCCACAGCAUGGCCUUCGCUCCAGAUCAAAACUCCAAAACCUAAUUUUUACCAAAAUUAACAAGGGGAAAUUACUGCUUCCAAG